AUUGAACGCUGGCGGCAUGCUUUACACAUGCAAGUCGAACGGCAGCGGGGACUUCGGUCCGCCGGCGAGUGGCGAACGGGUGAGUAAUGCAUCGGAACGUGCCUAUCAGUGGGGGAUAACGCUUCGAAAGGAGUGCUAAUACCGCAUAUUCUCUGAGGAGAAAAGCAGGGGACCUUAGGGCCUUGCGCUGAUAGAGCGGCCGAUGUCGGAUUAGCUAGUUGGUGAGGUAAAGGCUCACCAAGGCGACGAUCCGUAGCGGGUCUGAGAGGAUGAUCCGCCACACUGGGACUGAGGCACGGCCCAGACUCCUGCGGGAGGCAGCAGUGGGGAAUUUUGGACAAUGGGCGAAAGCCUGAUCCAGCAAUGCCGCGUAAGUGAAGAAGGCCUUCGGGUUGUAAAGCUCUUUUGUUUGGGAAGAAAUCCUAACGGAUAAUACCUGUUGGGGAUGACGGUGCCAAAAGAAUAAGCACCGGCUAACUACGUGCCAGCCGCCGCGGUAACAC
rnacentral:rRNA from 1 species